rnacentral:rRNA from 1 species
UACGUAGGGGGCUAGCGUUGUCCGGAAUCAUUGGGCGUAAAGCGCGUGUAGGCGGUCCGGUAAGUCCGCUGUGAAAGUCGGGGGCUCAACCCUCGGAUGCCGGUGGAUACUGUCGGGCUUGAGUACGGAAGAGGCGAGUGGAAUUCCUGGUGUAGCGGUGGAAUGCGUAGAGAUCCGGAAGAACACCGGUGGCGAAGGCGGCCCGCUGGGCGAGUGACUGACGCUGAGGCGCGACAGCGUGGGGAGCAAACAGG